UACGUAGGUGGCAAGCGUUGUCCGGAUUUACUGGGCGUAAAGAGCGCGCAGGCGGUCGUUCAAGUCGCGUGUGAAAGACCCCGGCUCAACUGGGGAGGGUCGUGCGAUACGGGCGAACUGGAGGCCAGUAGGGGGAUGCGGAAUUCCGGGUGUAGUGGUGGAAUGCGUAGAGAUCCGGAGGAACACCAGCGGCGAAGGCGGCAUCCUGGACUGGUCCUGACACUCAUGAGCGAAAGCGUGGGGAGCGAUCCGG
rnacentral:rRNA from 1 species